UGGGGAAUAUUGGGCAAUGGAGGCAACUCUGACCCAGCAACGCCGCGUGAAUGAAGAAGGUCUUCGGAUUGUAAAGUUCUUUAAUUGGUGACGAAAAAAAUGACGGUAGCCAAAGAAUAAGCCACGACUAACUACGUGCCAGCAGUCGCGGUAAUACGUAGGUGGCAAGCGUUGUCCGGAAUGACUGGGCGUAAAGGGAGCGUAGGCGGCGAAGCAAGUUAGGAGUGAAAUCCCAAGGCUUAACCUUGGAACUGCUUUUAAAACUGCUUUGCUUGAGUGAUGGAGAGGAAAGCGGAAUUCCUAGUGUAGCGGUGGAAUGCGUAGAUAUUAGGAGGAACACCAGAGGCGAAGGCGGCUUUCUGGACAUUAACUGACGCUGAAGCUCGAAAGCGUGGGGAGCAAACAGG
rnacentral:rRNA from 1 species